UAUAAACCAUAGAAGAGGAAUAGUAACUUGCAAAGGGUAAAAGAGAGUCAGUGGUUGGUGUAAACUGGUACCUAAUGUUAGUGAAUCCACCUCAAGAGGGACUGUGAUGAGCAGUACGGUAAUUCCGUUAUAGUUUAAAGAGAGGAUUAAGUUAUUAGCUUAAUCAAUUAGGGUGGCAACACGGAGUCUUUCGUCCCUUUA
rnacentral:ncRNA from 1 species